GGGCCAUACCAACCAGAGGCUUUUGAAGAAUGUACUUUUGGCGAUGAAUGAUAUUAUGUAAAUCAAGUUGAAGAUCAGAAUCAGCUCCUUUAAAAUAAGUGAUGUUGUUUCAUUUAAUGUAGAAUGAGACUUAAGAAAGUUCAGUGGAGAAGCUUUUAGGGACCAAAAUCCCAAUACAUAGUUAUAAGAAACUAGUUUUUCAUACCAAGAGAGGGGCUAGGUUUUUCUUACCUCACCAUGAAAGAAGAAUAGGGUAAUAUGAAGUUUUGACAUAUCUAACAAUUGUCAUAGGUUUUUCAGCCAAAGUAUCUGUAAGACACAUAAAAGAGAUAGAGAUUUGUUUAUCAUAACACCAAUCAGUUGCUCCUUUAUGUUGGAAUUCUUAAGAAGCCUAUGUUCGACUCGGUCACUUAAUUAAGCCAGCACUUCAUGGCUUCAAGAAGCAAGUCAAUAAUCUAAAGACGCGUCAAAUAUUAAGACAUUGCAUUGAUAAGUAAAAGAAGCAUGCCAAAUGAUUACAAAUAAUGCACCAAUUGGAUUAUUUGGUAUGUGUAGAAACAAGCUCUACAAAAUUUAAAGCACAGAAAGGUAGAUUAUUAAAUGAGUGGGACCAAAUCAGACAUUUUAUGUGAUAUAAACAGUAAAAGUUCUUUUUAUUGAAAAUUCAUUACUUUGAACC
rnacentral:lncRNA from 1 species